UUGGACAACAAACUGUAAAUUGUUGCGGAGUUUUGUGUCAUUUAAAUAAAUACUAUAUUUUGACUCUAACAGGAUAUUAAGUUUUUGAAAAAUAUCAUUAAUUCAGUAUCCAAUACAAUGUCAAAGUUAGAAGUUACGAAACAUAAAGAAACGGUUAAAUAUUAAAAUUCAAAUUAACAUUAUUAGACAAUAAAAAUUAAAUAUAUCUAAUAAAAAAAGUAAAACUAAAAGUAAAUGAGGACAUUUUUACGUGUGUGAACGUCUAAAACAAAAAACAUAAAGAUAAAAAAAUAUUUUGUUUUUAAUAUUGAGGAAAAAUAAAUGAAAAAACAAAGCCGAAAGAGCCAAAUGCAUGCAUAUGUAUGUCUAGACAUGAUAAACUAAAGCUGACAACAGAACAAAAUUGAAUAAAUACAAAAUAAAAUUAAUAAUGAUGAUGAUAAUGACGUUGAAAACUACUUGUAUAUCAUACGCAUCCAACUACGCCACACUGAAAAGUACAAUCCACUAAAUUAAAUUGUGCUUAACUUGCCAAACAAAACCAAACAAACAAUCAAACGAAUGAACAAAAAACAAAGCGGAACCAAAAUUUACACAUAAAAAAUCAACAGCAAACCACCAACAACUAAACAAAAUCUAUUUAAAAUCA